rnacentral:rRNA from 1 species
UACGUAGGGUGCAAGCGUUAAUCGGAAUUACUGGGCGUAAAGCGUGCGCAGGCGGUGAUGUAAGACAGAUGUGAAAUCCCCGGGCUCAACCUGGGAACUGCAUUUGUGACUGCAUCGCUGGAGUACGGCAGAGGGGGGAUGGAAUUCCGCGUGUAGCAGUGAAAAUGCGUAGAUAUGCGGAGGAACACCGAUGGCGAAGGCAAUCCCCCUGGGCCUGUACUGACGCUCAUGCACGAAAGCGUGGGGGAGCAA